GUUCUGGUCUUCCAGGCUGAUGUUGGCUGCCUAAGAAGUUAUUUGAGAGCCCCUCGUUUCUUUCCUUGCUUCAAAACCCUACUGAGAUAAGGGCAACAUUUAGGGACCAAGAACCCAACCUUCCAAUGUUUCAAACCCACAGAGAUUCAAGAAAGGCUUAUAAAAGAAUUAGCAUCAGAACAGGAUUCUGAAAGCUCAAAGUCUCUGUUAUUUACACAUUUAUAACAUGCUUGAAUAUUGCCAAAUUGAGCCAUGGAUAUUUUGGGACAAAUAUUGGGGGAAGUUAUGUUCAAUACUGAUGUC